AAAAAAAGGGGACAUUCUCUCGCAGCCUGAUCAGCCAUGCCGCGUGAGUGAUGAAGGCCCUAGGGUUGUAAAGCUCUUUCAACGGUGAAGAUAAUGACGGUAACCGUAGAAGAAGCCCCGGCUAACUUCGUGCCAGCAGCCGCGGUAAUACGAAGGGGGCUAGCGUUGUUCGGAAUUACUGGGCGUAAAGCGCACGUAGGCGGAUUGUUAAGUUAGGGGUGAAAUCCCGAGGCUCAACCUCGGAACUGCCUUUAAUACUGGCAAUCUAUAGUUCGAGAGAGGUGAGUGGAAUUCCGAGUGUAAAGGUGAAAUUCGUAGAUAUUCGGAGGAACACCAGUGGCGAAGGCGGCUCACUGGCUCGAUACUGACGCUUAGGUGCGAAAGCGUGGGGAGCAAACAGGAUUAGAUACCCCUGGUAGUCCACGCCGUAAACGAUGGAAGCUAGCCGUCAGGUUGUUUACAACUUGGUGGCGCACUUAACGCAUUAAGCUUCCCGCCUGGGGAGUACCGUCGCAAGAUUAAAACUCAAAGGAAUUGACGGGGG
rnacentral:rRNA from 1 species